rnacentral:rRNA from 1 species
CCUGAACGCUGGCGGCGUGGCUAAGACAUGCAAGUCGCACGGGCCCAGCAAUGGGCCAGUGGCGAACGGGUGAGUAAUGAAUCGCUAACGUGCCCCGGACUCCGGGAUAGCCGUCCGAAAGGGCGGGUAAUACCGGGUAACAUCACUGCCUCGCAUGAGGCGGUGCUCAAAGGUCCGCCGGUCUGGGAGCGGGCGAUUUCGUAUCAGCUAGUUGGUGGGGUAACGGCCCACCAAGGCGACGACGCGUAGCCGGACUGAGAGGUUGGCCGGCCACAUCGGGGACUGAGACACUGCCCGGACUCCUACGGGGGGCUGCAGUAACGAAUCUUCCGCAAUGCACGAAAGUGUGACGGAGCGACGCCGCGUGUGGGACGAAGCCCUUCGGGUGUAAACCACUGUCAGGGUUACCAAGUUCUGAGGAACCCCAGAGGAAGGCACGGCUAACUCUGUGCCA